CCCCAGUAGCCCCCCCAUAGCACCCCAUAGCCCCCUUCCUUGAUGCCCCCCAGCCCCAUGCGCCCGCUAUAACCCCCCAAAGCCACCCCAUUAGACCCCAUAACAGCCCCAUAGACACCCCAUAACCCCCCUCUUGAUGCCCCCCUGCCCCAAUAGCCCUCCAUAAUAUGCCACCCUACGCCACCCAGAUAGCCCCCCAUAAAUGCCCAGCCGGCAGCACCCUAAGCUCCCUCUGCAUGCCCCCCUGCCCCAUAGCCCCCCAUAGCCCCCUAACCCCUCCAUAACCCCCAUAACACCCCACAUAGCCACACCCAUAACCCCCUCUGAUUGCCCCCCCUGCCCCAUAACCCCAUAAGCCCCUUAAACCCCCCAUCACGACUCCCCAUAGCCACCCCAUAGCCACCCCAUAGCCCCCUUCUGAUGCCCCCCCGCCCCAUAGCCCCCAUACCCCCCAUAUCCCCCCAGCCCAUAGCCCCGCGCACUGACCCACACACUCGGUGUUGAGGUGCCGGUAUCCGGGGGGGCAGCGACACUCGAAUCCCCCCGGCUGGUUUGAGUACAUUCCUGGCUGGGACCGGCAGGGGGGGGACCCUCACAUUCAUCCACAUCUAUGGGUGUUGGGGGGGGGGGGCGGGGGUCCCCGGAUGAGGGCGGCGGAUCGGGGCAGACACAGGAACCCCCCGUAGUGGUUGAGGCAGCGCAUGGAGCCGCGGCAGGGGGGGGGAGGCACCGAGCACUCGUCAAUGUCUGGAUAUGGGGGGGGGGGGGUAAUUAAUAAGGGGUUAAUUAGGGACGUUGAGAACCAUAGAGAGCCCAUUGUGACCCAUAGAGACCCAUAGAGAGCUCAUUGUGACCCAUAGAGACCCCCUAGAGACCCCACUGCCCCAUAGAGAACCCAUAGAGACCCCAUAGUGACCUAUAGAGACCCAUAGAGACCCCAUAGAGACCCACUGACGCCAUAGAGACCCCAUAGAGACCCAUAGAGACCCAUAGAGACACAUAGAGACCCCAUAGAGACACAUAGAGACCCAUAGAGAUACCAUUGUGCCCCAUUGAGACCCCAUAAGGACCCCAUAGGGACCCAUAGAGACCCCAUAUAGACCCAUAGAGAUACCAUUGUGCCCCAUAGAGACCCCAUUGAGACCACACUGCCCCAUUGAGACCCCAUAGAGACCCCAUAUAGACCCAUAGAGACCCCACUGUACCCCAUAGAGACCCCAUAGAGACCCCACUGCCCUAUUGAGAACCCAUAGAGACCCCACUGCCCCAUAGAGACCCCAUUGAGAACCCAUAGAGACCCCAUUGCCCCAUAGGGACCCCAUUAAGAAAGCAUUGUGCCCCAUAGAGACCCCAUUGAGACCCCACUGUGCCCAUAGAGACCCCAUUGUGACCCAUAGAGACACAUAGAGACCCCAUAGAGACCCAUAGAGAUACCAUUGUGACCCAUAGAGACCCCAUAGAGACCCAUAGAGACCCAUAGAGACCCC
rnacentral:lncRNA from 1 species